rnacentral:rRNA from 1 species
UACCAGCACCCCGAGUGGUCGGGACGUUUAUUGGGCCUAAAGCAUCCGUAGCCGGUUCUACAAGUCUUCCGUUAAAUCCAGCUGCUUAACAGAUGGGCUGCGGAGGAUACUAUAAGACUAGGAGGCAGGAGAGGCAAGCGGUACUCAGUGGGUAGGGGUAAAAUCCGUUGAUCCAUUGAAGACCACCAGCGGCGAAGGCGGCUUGCCAGAAUGCGCUCGACGGUGAGGGAUGAAAGCUGGGGGAGCAAACCGG